ACUGUUGCUGCAGACACUUGAUCAGCGUGGAUGAUGCUCGUGAAUGUGUCAAAAACAAGAGGAAACAAUUGAAAGAAGAUCAGAAGAAUCAUGUGAUUAUGUGAAAGUGUUAUCUAUCUCAACUCUAACUUCAAGCUAAACUCUCGUCCUCUCCUGUCCUCAUGCCCUCACACGUCCGCGCCCUCUUGAACUCUUUGCAGAACUCUCAGAAUGCGGCGCGCACCUUUCACACCGUGAGAAGACAAUUGGUUCAAAGAGGCCGCCGGCCUUUGACGUCGCACUACAAAGCCAGGGUUUAUCGACGAGUUAUGCCUCAGUAAACUGAGCAACCAACAGGCUUGUUGGGACACAUGUAGUUCCAGGGACGCUGUCCACCAGCAGCCUGGAGAACAACGUCCAGACCGGCUGAUAAAUGAUCGGGGUGCACAAUGGGCUUUCUGUGCCGUGAAAAUCAACUCUGCGUUUGACUCUUUCCACUCCUCUCAUCAGGCAUGUAUCAGCACUUUUAGGAGCUGGAGCAUUUUCAGGAGAAAAUGCUAUUGUUUGCUGAGGCCAGAAGUCAU